rnacentral:tRNA from 1 species
UCUGUGGUGACUUAGUUGGUAAAGAACCUGCCUGCAAUGCAGGAGACCCACGUUCAACCCCUGGAUGGAGAA